rnacentral:rRNA from 1 species
AGUGAACGCUGGCGGUAGGCCUAACACAUGCAAGUCGAACGGCAGCACAGUAAGAGCUUGCUCUUACGGGUGGCGAGUGGCGGACGGGUGAGGAAUACAUCGGAAUCUACUUUUUCGUGGGGGAUAACGUAGGGAAACUUACGCUCAUACCGCAUACGACCUACGGGUGAAAGCAGGGGAUCUUCGGACCUUGCGCGAUUGAAUGAGCCGAUGUCGGAUUAGCUAGUUGGCGGGGUAAAGGCCCACCAAGGCGACGAUCCGUAGCUGGUCUGAGAGGAUGAUCAGCCACACUGGAACUGGGACACGGUCCAGACGCCUACGGGACGCAGCAGUGGGGAAUAGUGGACAAUGGGCGCAAGCCUGAUCCAGCCAUACCGCGUGGGUGAAGAAGGCCUUCGGGUUGUAAAGCCCUUUUGUUGGGAGAGAAAAGCAGCAGGUUAAUACCCCGCUGUUCUGGCGGUACCCAAAGAAUAAGCACCGGCUAACUUCGU